GGGGAUAGCCUUUCGAAAGAAAGAUUAAUACCCGAUGGUAUCUUAAGCACGCAUGAGAUUAAGAUUAAAGAUUUAUCGGUAAGCGAUGGGGAUGCGUUCCAUUAGGCAGUUGGCGGGGUAACGGCCCACCAAACCUACGAUGGAUAGGGGUUCUGAGAGGAAGGUCCCCCACAUUGGAACUGAGACACGGUCCAAACUCCUACGGGAGGCAGCAGUGAGGAAUAUUGGUCAAUGGGCGAGAGCCUGAACCAGCCAAGUAGCGUGAAGGAUGACGGCCCUACGGGUUGUAAACUUCUUUUGUGCGGGAAUAAAGGAACCUACGUGUAGGUUUUUGCAUGUACCGUAACGAAUAAGCAUCGGCUAACUCCGUGCCAGCAGCCGCGGUAAUACGGAGGAUGCGAGCGUUAUCCGGAUUUAUUGGGUUUAAAGGGAGCGUAGACGGGUUUUUAAGUCAGCUGUGAAAGUUUGGGGCUCAACCUUAAAAUUGCAGUUGAAACUGGAGACCUUGAGUACGGUUGAGGCAGGCGGAAUUCGUGGUGUAGCGGUGAAAUGCUUAGAUAUCACGAAGAACCCCGAUUGCGAAGGCAGCCUGCUAAGCCGCCACUGACGUUGAGGCUCGAAAGUGCGGGUAUCAAACAGGAUUAGAUACCCUGGUAGUCCGCACGGUAAACGAUGGAUACUCGCUGUUGGCGAUAGACAGUCAGCGGCCAAGCGAAAGCGUUAAGUAUCCCACCUGGGGAGUACGCCGGCAACGGUGAAACUCAAAGGAAUUGACGGGGGCCCGCACAAGCGGAGGAACAUGUGGUUUAAUUCGAUGAUACGCGAGGAACCUUACCCGGGCUUGAACUGCAGUGGAAUUAUCCGGAAACGGAUAAGCGAGCAAUCGCCGCUGUGGAGGUGCUGCAUGGUU
rnacentral:rRNA from 1 species